CAUAGUUUUUACUAUAUUCAACAUUUCUCACAAAGUUUCUAUUGUUAUUGUAAGCUUUCUCUCUUGCUUGUCCAGGAAUUUUUGUACCAUAUCCUGUUGUAUACUUUGUUUAAUACUUAAAGUGAAGUCAGUUUAACUAGUAGUUAGUUGAAGUUUGAAACAUUCUAUAUAGUUGUUUCUGUCUGAGACGUGCUUUUCUCUGUCUUCCCUUGAUUUUUCCCCCAUUGGACAGAUACUUUUGUGAUAUUAAAUGCAUUACUAGAAGUUGGUAGAAUAUUAAAUGUAUGACUAGAAGCUAAUAUAAGUUGUUAGAAGAUUCUAGAGAUCUCCUUGUAAUUAUUACUUUAGGGUUAAAGUUCUCUAUAUAUAGAGACUAAUGUACUAUUUCAAAUGAAUCAAUUGAAUAAAAAUCUUCUUUCAAAUUAAUUCUUUCUAGUUGGUAUAAGCUCCCGAUCUUGGGAGUCUUGCUUCAUUUCUUCUUUACCAUCUUAGUUACAGUUCCUUUUAGGGUUGCCUGAAGUGCACCCAUGUCCUUUAAAUAUUGGGAUUGGAUAUCCUGAAGUGCACCCAACUUGUGGUUUUGUUUGUUGUUGCACCCCGCUAUCCACCAGUGCUGUUGGCAGACCUUGUCACUGUACCCUUGCUGGAGUUGUUGUCGGAGUCGUCGUCGGGCUAUCUUGUUAGAGCUUUCACCAUUGCUAUCAUCAGAAUUGUCGUUAUUGCCACUGCUGCCACAUCUGGAGCUCUUUUGUCUUAUUGUUCUCUUUUAAUUAAGAGGGGAUUCUAUUAUUUACUUCAGCAUGGCAGCUCCACUAAGCAAUGUUGAGCUUCUAACUUCAGAGAUUCAUGCAAUACGUGAUGAAAUUGAAGUUUGAAAUCUCGGAUGGAGUCCACCAAUAAGUCACCUUCUCGUCUUGGUCUCUAGCUAUGACUAGAUCUUGCCAUAAGGAGCACGAUUGGAACUGUUAAGGAACUGGGAGGGUUGUAUUGUUUUAACAACUAGGGAUCUAAAGAUAAUAUUAGUACACAAAUAGGUACCCCUUACUCCAAUCUUGCGCUACUUUUGAGUCCUCUCAAAUUUGGCUUCUCCAUCGUUGUCUAGGACAUCCCUCCUUUUCGGUUCUAUGGUUUAUGAUCCCUUCCUUAUUUUCUAAAGAGUUUGUUAAGUCAUGUAAAUGUGAUGUAUGCCAACUUGGAAAACACCAUUGUGCCACAUAUACUCCUAGUAAUACAAAGAGUGUCCAACCUUUUGACU